rnacentral:rRNA from 1 species
ACUGUGAGACAGGUGCUGCAUGGCUGUCGUCAGCUCGUGUUGAGAAAUGUUGGGUUAAGUCCCGCAACGAGCGCAACCCUUAUCCUUUGUUGCCAGCGGUUAGGCCGGGAACUCAAAGGAGACUGCCAGUGAUAAACUGGAGGAAGGUGGGGAUGACGUCAAGUCAUCAUGGCCCUUACGACCAGGGCUACACACGUGCUACAAUGGCGCAUACAAAGAGAAGCGACCUCGCGAGAGCAAGCGGACCUCAUAAAGUGCGUCGUAGUCCGGAUUGGAGUCUGCAACUCGACUCCAUGAAGUCGGAAUCGCUAGUAAUCGUG